rnacentral:rRNA from 1 species
UACGGAAUGUGCAACCGUUAUUCGGAAUCACUGGGCUUAAAGAGUCCGUAGGCGGCUUGUUAGGUGAGGUGUGAAAUCCCUCGGCCCAACCGAGGAAUUGCGCUUCAAACCGGCAAGCUAGAGGAGGAUAGAGGUGGGCGGAACUGAUGGUGGAGCGGUGAAAUGCGUUGAUAUCAUCAGGAACACCGGAGGCGAAGGCGGUCCACUGGGUCCUAUCUGACGCUGAGGGACGAAAGCUAGGGGAGCGAACGGG